rnacentral:rRNA from 1 species
GAUGAACGCUGGCGGCGUGCCUAAUACAUGCAAGUCGAGCGAACGGACGAGAAGCUUGCUUCUCUGAUGUUAGCGGCGGACGGGUGAGUAACACGUGGAUAACCUACCUAUAAGACUGGGAUAACUUCGGGAAACCGUAGCUAAUACCGGAUAAUAUUUUGAACCGCAUGGUUCAAAAGUGAAAGACGGUCUUGCUGUCACUUAUAGAUGGAUCCGCGCUGCAUUAGCUAGUUGGUAAGGUAACGGCUUACCAAGGCAACGAUGCAUAGCCGACCUGAGAGGGUGAUCGGCCACACUGGAAGUGAGAAACGGUCCAGACUCCUGCAGGAGGCAGCAGUAGGGAAUCUUCCGCAAUGGGGGAAAGCCUGACGGAGCAACGCCGCGUGAGUGAUGAAGGUCUUCGGAUCGUAAAACUCUGUUAUUAGGAAAGAACAUAUGUGUAAGUAACUGUGCACAUCUUGACGGUACCUAAUCAAAAAGCCACGGCUAACUACGUG